UACGUAGGGUGCGAGCGUUAAUCGGAAUUACUGGGCGUAAAGCGUGCGCAGGCGGUCUUUGCAAGACAGAUGUGAAAUCCCCGGGCUCAACCUGGGAACUGCAUUGUGACUGCAUGGCUAGAGUACGGUAGAGGGGAUGGAAUUCCGCGUGUAGCAGUGAAAUGCGUAGAUAUGCGGAGGAACACCGAUGGCGAAGGCAAUCCCCUGGACCUGUACUGACGCUCAUGCACGAA
rnacentral:rRNA from 1 species